rnacentral:rRNA from 1 species
AACGAACGCUGGCGGCAGGCCUAACACAUGCGAGUCGAGCGCGCCUUCGGGUGAGCGGCGGACGGGUGCGUAACGCGUGGGAAUAUGCCCUUCUCUACGGAAUAGUCCUGGGAAACUGGGGGUAAUACCGUAUACGCCCUUUGGGGGAAAGAUUUAUCGGGGAAGGAUUAGCCCGCGUUGGAUUAGGUAGUUGGUGGGGUAAUGGCCUACCAAGCCGACGAUCCAUAGCUGGUUUGAGAGGAUGAUCAGCCACACUGGGACUGAGACACGGCCCAGACUCCUACGGGAGGCAGCAGUGGGGAAUCUUAGACAAUGGGGGCAACCCUGAUCUAGCCAUGCCGCGUGAGUGAUGAAGGCCUUAGGGUUGUAAAGCUCUUUCAGCUGGGAAGAUAAUGACGGUACCAGCAGAAGAAGCCCCGGCUAACUCCGUG